CGCCUGCUCGUCACGGAAGAGACUGUCUUGAGAGCACAGGUCUGUUGCAGCGUGGGAAAGCCUGCGUUACCACUGCGCAAUGGCUAGACUGAAACGUGCGCCUUUGCAGUGGAUCUCCCAGCUCUUCUGAGGGAGAGGGAUUUGAAUCUUGUUGCUUUAGUAGCAUCUUCUGGAAGGAGGUCGUUUACGUAAAUUCUGUUCCAAAGCUCUGUCGUAACUGCUUCUAAAAUGAGGUUGAUACUAAACCUCUGUAGAGGAGCAGGAUGCAACCGACAGGCUGUGGCCGGACAGCUGCUGCCCAGCACAUGGAGCCUGCACGCGCACGGUUUGGCCAAAGAAGCCCCCAUACUCCCGGUGAAAAAGAUUUCCAGAAGCUGUUCUGUCAAUAACAAAGUCUCAAAGAAAACCACAAAACCACCAACACUA
rnacentral:lncRNA from 1 species